UAAAUACCCCCCUGCUGAUUACAUGGCAGUAAAAUACCAGCUGGAUAUAGACUUGGAUGGGCUUAACUCUUGAAAAGCAGUUUAAUAAGAUGUUCUCGACCAAGAUAGAGAGCAUGACACUAUCACAAAAGAGAACAAGAUGGGAAGGAGUUUUUUAAUACAAGAAGAGUUUGCUUCACCGAACAACUGCAUUUAAGACUCAUAACCUAAUGAAAAGGAUAAGGUGUCUUCCCUACGCUACUGCUAACCACCACAACGGAGUUGAGUUCGGGGUGUGUGUGCUGAGGUGCCUUCGCAAUCCCACCGCAGGGCCUCCUGAGACCCUCUGAGGCAAUUGUGCAAACCUUACCUGAGGCAGAACAGAGAGGAAAGGGACGUAACACAAGUUUGCUGGCCAGCAAAUGGAAUGGAGAGAGAAGGGAAGAUGUCACAGUCGCAACAAAACAUACACACACACACACCAGCCCGCAACUCUUCUCCUCAUUCUUUCCAGGGCUAUUUGUCCAGCAACACUGUAGAGAAGUUACCUGAAUCUCCUAUAAUGAAAUAAGAGAAAUAAAAACAAAACAAAACAAAACAAAACAAAAAAACAAGAAAGGAAACUUCUCAGUAUAAUGUUUGGUAUGACGGUCCUUGGUUAUUUAAAUGCAUCCUCUGUUCCAAGGUCAAAAAAGCCAGUUUCUGGCCUGAAAGUGACCCCACCCAGCCUCUUUUUGUUCUUCUAUUGAAGUAGGUAACAGGAAUGUUGCUCAUGGACUCAUGGGAGGUGACACUGGCUUUAUCACCCUCUUUGGACUGAUGAAAUAGAUGAGGCCUGAGAAGUGAGGUCAUGUACCAAGGUCACAGAGUGAUAAGUGGCAAAGACAGGUGUUGAACUCUGUUCUAUAUUGUGUACAAGGCCUCUUACAAUAGCUCACAUAGAACUCACCAAAGCUGACGGCUGAAUUAUUUGUUGCAAUAUUGCUCUCACACCUUGUGCCCAACUGGCAUGGACACUUGGCAGAGCCUGGCUUUGCAGCCAAGUGAGGCAGCAAUUUUAAUCACCACCAUCUUGCGGUUAAUCUGCACUGUACGGCUGUCAUUUUCCUGUUGGUCUGAAUGGGAAAACCUCCUCAGAGCAAAACACCAGACCCCCAGACAAGACCUCUGCUCACUGUGGAAUGCUCCAUUUUAAAUGCUCAUCAGAAGCCAGGAUAACAAAUGCAGUAGAUUGGUCUCUAGGGAGUCCUGCUUUAUCAUCACUGAAGUCUAAGAAAGCGGUGUCAGCUUCCAACACAGUGGCCUGAGCCUUGGCAAAUUCAGAAGUAAAAUCUGAACUGUCUUUACCUACAGAGUACAGACGCUGCUCAGGGGGUGAGAAGAGGCGGCAUCUGGCUAACGUUCCAGCUCCAAAAUCAAUCAAGGCUCCUGGAGCUCCUACAAAGCACUGGAGACACAGAACACAGUGUUUCUCUCUUGCUUGUCCCUCCCUAAGCAGAUGGAGGCUUUCACUGGAAAUGCCUGUUGUCAGGCCCAGGCGUAUAGAAAAGCAAACUUCUGGGAGGGGAAAAAAGAUGACCAGGCUGAGCCUAAAGAGACUUCCCAAAGUUUCUAAGAAUAAUCAAAAGACCUUUUCGUUAUGAGAAGCAUCUCUGGAGUACUGAUCUUACUACAGGCCAUGGUAGUAGAGACUCAGAAGAGACUUAGUUAAAUCCUACAAACCAUGGUAAGGGUAGUCACCAUCCGUCACCAUACAAAAUUAUUACAAUAUUUUUUACUGUAUUCCCUGUGCCAUACUUUAUCAUUCCUGUGACUUAUUUAUUUCAGAGCUGGAAGUUUGUUGAAUAUUUCAUAAUGUAUUUAAGUGUUGAAUCACUCUGUUGUACAUUUGAAACUAACAGAAUAGUGUAUGUCAACUAUAUUUCAAUAAAAAGACCAUCCAACUGAUCCAUAUGAGUUCCAAACAGACAUUAUUAAAUUGGACGACUACAGUUUUCAAGAAAUUUGCCCAGAAGAUUAAAGCCGUCAGAUACUUGAUGUGAAAAGCAGUUUUCACUUUGGAAAGCUAUUUUUUACAUAGGAUUUCCAAUGUCUAUAGAGUUUGAGUCUGAGGUAAUGUACUUAGCUCUAUGGCCCCCUGAGUAUUGAUUACAGAAUAGGGUUUUGAGGACGUCAUGCUGCAAAAAACCCUCUUUCAUUAUCUAAGAAAAAAAUAUGGCUGCCCUGUUCCCCACCUCCCUGAUUCACAAAGAGCUUGACUACCUCCAUGCGAAAUGACUCUCCUGUAGGGCUCGAUGACCUUCAUGUCAAUACGCUGUUCCUGUUCUCCAAUCACCACAGUUCUCCACAACCGGUUGUCCUCUCGCUCCUCUUCUGCUGUAUACUCCGGAAUAGACUCUGACUCUUGGCCAGAAUCUUUGUUAGAUGUGGAGACUUCUGGAAGUGAAGCAUACAGGAGGACUGAGGGAGCAAGACUCCACAGUUGAGGCAGUUUAACCACAACCCAUCUCCAGACAGAGUUAACCUGAUGGCACUCCCCAUGUUGCACAACCAUCCUGACCACAUAAAGGACGCUUAUUUAUUGAUGGACUGAACAGCCAAAUCCAUUCUAAGGCCAAGCUGAGGGUGGGGAUAGAUGCAGGGCUAGAGCUGCCUUGCCUCAGUGGGCCAAGGGAGGACAGGCUGGUACCAAUUCAUCCUUGAUCACAGGUUAAAGACUGGACUUUUCUCAUGGGGUGAAGGGCUAUUUAUCAAGCCCAGGCAAUUUUGUUUCCUUGGAUCACACAUCCUAAGUGGUUAGUAUCUUGAUGACACCACCAGCCUAGACCCUGACUCUAAGACUUACAAAGGACUUGGGCUCCCUUCCCUAUUAGAAGUAAAUUUGGGCAUAAGUAUGAUAUUACCUUCAAUGGAUUUUUCAAAAUUCCCCACAGAAAGAUUUUACAUUAAGUAAGAAACAAACAACUGUAUAGACCAGAAAUGCUCCAAGGCCAAAAAUUCAUAACAUUCCUAUUUGUGGGUGCAUGUGGCAAUAAAAAAGCCCACUGAACACUCUUUGGGGAAACAUUUACUACCCACUCUUGCACAUCCAGAAAAAAAAAGACAGCAACCGUGCUAAGUUUUCUGAAAAGAAUAAGCAGCAAUUGUUUUCAUUUUUACUUCAUCUAUGAGUUUAACAAUGGUUAUUCUUUGUAUGUUUAAAUAAUUUGAAGGAAAAGAUUAUUUACAGCCUUCACAAUAAUUCUGUGGCAUAUUAUCAUUCUUAUUUUUCCACUCAUGGGAAAGGACUUUUGAUUUACAUUGUACUUCUUUCAUUUUAUGCCACUUUGAUAAUUAAGAACAAUACUUAACUAGAUAGCCACAAUGUGUCAGGCACAGUAGUAGGUAUUAUAGUAGUAAACCUGCCCAUGCAAACACUGACUUUAAGUAGUUUGCAAUCACACUAUACCCUGAGUGUGUGAUUCUCAUUCUCUUUAUUUUACCGUGAGGCUGGGAAUUCCUUGGGCCGAGAAAUUGUACCUGAACACCUCUGUUAUUUUUUACAUUUUUUAAGAUUUUAUUUAUUUAUUCAUGACAGACAGAGAGAGAGGCAGAGACAUAGGCAGAGGGAGAAGCAGGCUCCCUGCUGGGAGCCCGAUGUGGGACUCGAUCCCUGGAACUGGGAUCACACCCUGAGCCAAAGGCAGAUGCUCAAACCGCUGAGCCAUCCAGGCGUCCCAACGACUUCUAUUUUUCACCUCCAUCAACUAACUCCACAUUUAACUUGGAAACCUGCACAGAGUUCUCAGUGAAAACUGAGGUGAAUGAGUAAAUAAAGGAAAGCUUGGACAGUUUCCUGAAAGUAUGGGUACUCGGUAAGGAGACCACAACAAAGCCAUGAUGUUCUGGAAGAUUCCUCAAGGCACAUCAAAUGUGUCUGAUUAUCCGUGACUUAGAACAGCACACUGAAAUUGAGCUGGGAAGCCAUCCUAGCCUUUUUGCCAACACCAACAGCUACCAUCACCUACAGAGCCUUGCCUCACUCUGGCUUCCUCUCCAUUCCCAGAUGAGUGUGCCUCAUCUUACUAAGGACAGAAAACAACAACCUUUGGCUUCAGACCAAGCUCUGCAUCACUGGCACAAAUCCAUCCAAUGGCAUUGGACUCUCAGUCUGGAAUCCCUUCCUGCUUCUCCUUUCCUCUUGGCUGAGGACCCCUGGAUGCUUCUCUUUACUCCCUUUCUGGGACCCUGUUUUCCAUCUGGUCUCUGGGCCCCGAUGUGGGCUUGUCUUCAAUGUUCCUAUACGUGCACACUCUACCUUGCAACAAACUCACCAUCCACCAGCCCCUCUAUCCUUGUUUGGGACUUUCUGGCUUGCUCUUCCUUGACCCGUGUGAUCUGUGUGGGGUGGAGGGGUGACUGUUUUGUUUUCUGCAUGCUUUUACUGAGGCUACCACAUUUUUAAAAAUGUGUAUACCGUAUUAUUUUUCCUGCUUCUAAAAUAAAAUGCAAAUAAAGGUUGAAACAAUGCUGACAUUGUCCAGAAAAACUGCAAAAAUCACUGGUGCCAUUCUCACUCAUUGUUUGCUGUGUAUUCUUUUUAUUACGUAGGGAAGUAUACAAGCAUACUUCCCUCCCAAAGUAUGAUCAUUCUAUAUA